CAACUAGUGGUACAUUCGGUAACGAAGCAGUAGUCGAAAGGGCAGUUGUACAACUAUCCCUAUCGUGCCACCACAGGUGGCCUUUGAGCUUCAUACACAGGCCACGCGUGAUUUUCUUGGGAAUCGGUGUGUUUGUGUACUCAAUAACCAUAAUAGCUACAUAGCAAUACUACCACUUACACACUAAUAUUCAUACUAAUAAAUGUAAACUCAGCACUUGAACAGUUGUGGAGAUGCAUAAAACAAAACGAAAACAAAAUGCUUAUUCCUCCUGUUGUUUCUCGCUCAACUUCUGUUUUUUCUUUCAAAGACAAAAUAUUCUUUCCCUCACCCCAAAACAUGCAUCCAUCGAUAAACCCAACACACAAACGUCUAGAUCGAAUGAAAAAGAAAUGCAAAGGGAUUAAAGCUUGACAUCAGUUCUCUUCAACCAAGAUCAAGACGAGAAAAGCAAGAAAAAUGGAUCAUUCGAGAUAAAAGGGAAAAACGGCGAGGGUUUACCCAAUCGGAAGGUCCUCCUGUCCAAGAUCUAGCGUUAUCGCUUGGGUUUUUACGACGAGUGCUCUAACCGCAACUGAUUGUCCAGAUGAGGUAGGUUCAUUAUUCAUGGCUGGGCUUCUUACUUCGCAAUCUCCAUGGUUGUUAGGUUUCUUUCGUUUGGUUAGGGUUGCUAUUAAGGUGGUGGUUUCGCAUAGAUGGUGGUUUUUUAGCUCAAACUUGUUGAAAUUCAGUGUGAAAUCUCAACAAGCUUAGAAAUUUUAGAGCUCUAAAAAGUGUUUUGGAGUUGUUUUCUGCAGAGUAACGGUGCCAAAUUUUCCUCCCCUUUUCCAAUGAUUGGAGACUCUUUAUAUAGAGCUCUGAAUUACCAAGUCUCUCACCUGUGAGCUAGCCAAAAUCUAAGAUUUUCCGUUAGAAUAAAAAUCUCAUCUAGAUUUGGUGUGGUACCUAAAUUGAUGCAGGUGGCAAGGUGAAUUUGUUUUCGUUGGUAAAAUCUUAAGCGUGUAACCAUCCUCAACAACUCUUUUUUACCGUGGUAAGAAUGUAUCUGGCAUGGUAAGAAUCUUGAUUUUACUACCCUGUAACCCUGAAUUUCUCGCAGGUUUUGAUUAACUGGUGCGACGAAAAAAAAACAAUUAUUCAAAAGCCAUUCGCACUACUGUUAAUGAUGAUCUAAUAUGAUAGUAUUCUUGGCCAGUUUGGUUAUUGCUCUCUUAAUGCUGUCAAUUGUUGUUCUGCAGGUUCACAGUUGAUUAAGAUAACAUGAGUCACGGUAGCAUCAAAUACUAUGGACCUUGAGUUGGAGACAUGGUCCAUCCUUCAAGAUCCAGGCCAUGGUUUACCGGAAUCAAGAUUCACACUUCUGCCAAACUAAAUCACCGAGGAAGUUUCAUCUGAAUCGCCUUCUUGCAGAAGUAAUUGAUCACUAUAAUUAGGGUCCCGUUCUCCAGGGUCAGACAAGCUUCCCUGCUGUUUCCAAUUUCCAGGACUGAUGUUUGAUUGUAGAUAUGAUGGUGAACUGCCAGGAGCCUGUGAUGUUCCCUCAGUCUUGACUUAAGUUAUCAGUAUAUUGACCAUGCCAAUGUGACAAAAAGAUUUUUUCUUGGGUUGUGCAGGUUUCAACAUGCUCAUCAGGAUAUGGCUUGUAACCUAUUGGAAUGACUUGUAGAAAAAGAGUGCGAGGAGUUGUAACGUUUAGCUGACAUGUGGUUUCAAGCUUGAAUAAUUUCCCCUCGCGUCGGUGUGUUUAAUUGCGUGCGAAAGAGGAAAACAGCAGGUUGAAAUGUAACACAGCAACAUGGUAUGAUUCCCGCAGUAUUCCAUAGCAGAACAAUAAUAACACAACAUCUGUGUGAAGCUGAGGCGUGGCGACGAAAAAUGUACAACGAGUGUUGUAUUGUUGGGUUGUAUAACCGUGUCGCUGUUUGUAGGUGCUGUUAUGUUAACACAAGUUGGCGGGUAACUUCAAGUUCCAUUAUUUCACUUCUGUUUCGAAAGGAUGUGGUUUAUGGACAUUGAUGAGUGCUAUUUCAGAAGCCAAAACAUGUUUAAUGGAGAGUGUGUAUCAACUUGGUUGUAAUCGAAUGGUGAUAUCAUGGUCUUUGAAUGCCGAUAUCCGAACCCAGCAUGUGUCAAUUGCGCAGUCCAAGCUCCUGAUUAUGCUGCCUUGACAUAUGUUGCGGAAAGGGGGCGUGGCUUUUCACAUUAACAACUUCAAUUUGUUGGUUGUUUUGCUCAAGUUGGACAUGUUGGGUUUGACUUCUAUGGCGCGUGCUGCAGUGUUUUGGCCAAUGGAUUCUUGACAAAGCCGGAAGUCUUGCAAUUGUGCUGAAUGGUCUUUGGCUUUUUAGAAGAACCAGAACCUCUGCCGAAAGUUAUCACAGUACAUCAUCACUUCAAACUCCAUACGUAACAGGCCCGCAUUAAAUUAAAGUGAUUAGCUUUCAUUUGUCUGAGAUCCAAACUUUUGUAUUUCAUUUGAGCUCAAUUUCAAACUGUCAUAACUGGAUUAGAAACUUGAAUGCUACAUGUAACUUUCUUGUAAUGUCAUGUUUAAAUUGUUCUUCUUGUGAUUUUGAUGUACCUUGAAUCAGUUCCUAAUCUAAUGGAGUACUAUUGAAACAA